AGAGAGAGUUCAAGAGUACGUGAAACCGUCCAGGGUUAAACCUGAGAAACCCAAAAGAUACGAAUGGCAAAGAUUCAUCGACGACGAUACUGGAUCCCGAUGGCACGCGAAGCCCCGGUGGUACCGUCGCGGUUCCACAGCGAGCGGUACAACGCCAUCGGCGAACGUUCCGGUGAUAUAGUCAUGCACUUCUCCCCUAGUAGAACGUUGCGACCCGUUACGCGUCGGUCUACGGCCCGAGUGGGCGCCUAUGGCGUCGCAAACUUGCGCAUGCUGCAGACUCUCGGUCGCCCGACCGGCUGCGCAACGGUACUCGUACAGUAUCGGGCCGCAACCAAUCCAUUCUCCAAUAUAUAUGUGUCUAACCUAAAGGUGAAAUGAAAGUGAAACGGCCUUCGCGUUGACCAAGGGGUUGGGCCGCGUACACAUGGGGUCUCGCACUCCCGGGGCGUCUCGCUCUCAUCGCGAGAAGAGGUGCACAUAAAGCGUACACGUUGGGACCCG
rnacentral:rRNA from 1 species